rnacentral:rRNA from 1 species
GUCUACGGCCAUGCCACCCUGAAUAAACCUGAUGUCUGAUCUCAGAAGCUAAGUAGGGUCAGGCCUGGUUAGUACUUGGAUGGGAGACCACCUAGGAAGAUCAAGUGUUGUAGGCA